rnacentral:rRNA from 1 species
AAUCUACCCCCAGGUGGUGGAUAACCUUCCGAAAGGAAGGCUAAUACAGCAUGGGACCACGACUUCGCAAGGAGUUGAGGUGAAAGUCAGCCUCUUCACGAAAGCCGACGCCAGGGGAUGAGCCUGCGGCCCAUCAGCUAGUUGGUAGGGUAAUGGCCUACCAAGGCAAAGACGGGUAGCUGGUCUGAGAGGAUGAUCAGCCACACUGGAACUGAGACACGGUCCAGACUCCUACGGGAGGCAGCAGUGGGGAAUCUUGCGCAAUGGACGAAAGUCUGACGCAGCGACGCCGCGUGAGU